UUGUUGUAUCUCACACCCUGUUAUGUUUUUAGAUAGGCUUGGUUGUUGAUGGGUACAACUCCAACACAGAAAAAGUUCCAACUUUUGAAAAUGUUUGACAUAGUGAA